GACGAACGCUGGCGGCGUGCUUAACACAUGCAAGUCGAACGGAAAGGCCCUGCUUUUGUGGGGUGCUCGAGUGGCGAACGGGUGAGUAACACGUGAGUAACCUGCCCUUGACUUUGGGAUAACUUCAGGAAACUGGGGCUAAUACCGGAUAGGAGCUCCUGCUGCAUGGUGGGGGUUGGAAAGUUUCGGCGGUUGGGGAUGGACUCGCGGCUUAUCAGCUUGUUGGUGGGGUAGUGGCUUACCAAGGCUUUGACGGGUAGCCGGCCUGAGAGGGUGACCGGCCACAUGGGGACUGAGAAACGCACCAGACUGCUACGGGGGGCAGCAGUGGGAAAUAUUACACAAUGGGAGGAAGCCUGAUGCAGCAGCGCCGCGUGCGGGAUGACGGCCUUCGGGUUAUAAACCGCUUUCGCCUGUGACGAAGCGUGAGUGACGGUAAUGGGUAAAGAAGCACCGGCUAACUACGUG
rnacentral:rRNA from 1 species